ensembl:lncRNA
CUUUCAGUUUGCUGGCCUUGGACCAUUCUGCCUUUGAACUAAUUUUAUGGCACGCUGAACUUCUGCUUCUUUACCAGUUUCUUCUCAAAGGAAGAAAACUGCAGCCCUGACACCUUCAAAAUGACAACAAGCAAAUGAACAAACAAAAUACCUCCUCCAGGAUGUGGAGGCAAAGCCUUUUUCUUUGAAUUAAAGGUCCACAUUUGUUCACAAUGCUGUUAUUCUACCCGCAGGCUUGAAAAAUGGGCCGAAGGAAACAUCGGACAAAUAACUGUAUGGCAAGAAACCGAGCAGACAGAUUGAUUCUUCAUUAGUACCUAUGUAGAGCCAAGACCCUCAUGUAUAAUGGACAGCAAGCCGUUUGUGCAUCAGCUCCCCUGCGCAAGCCUGCAGGGAAAAUGUGAAGGAGGGUCUAGGAGGAUGCUUGCCUGUGCUGUAGGUUGUAUUACAGAAAAAAAAACCAAAAACCAAAAACCAAACAAACCAAAAACACUGCUCUUGGAGAACCUACCACUUUAUAGCGAGAGAUAAGGAAAUGAACCUCUUUGUCCCAGGAGGAACAUGACUUCAUUUCUCAAGGUUGCUCUGGAAAAUAAAAUCCUAAGAAGUGUCUCAGGUGAAGAGUACUGAUGGUCUUGUUAGAGGCAUUUGAACCAGGGCAACUCCAUUUUGAAUAGGGGCUGGGUAAAACAGGGCUGAGAUCUACUGUGCUGCAUUCCCGUAUAGUUAAGACAUUCUAAGUCACAGAGGAAGAUAGGAGGUCAGCACAAGAUACAGGUCAUAAAGACCUUGCUGAUAAAACAGGUUGCAGUAAAGAAGCCAGCCAAAACCCACCAAAACCAAGAUGGCCAUGAGAGUGACCUCUGGUUGUCCUCACUGCUAUACUCCCACCAGUGCCAUGACAGUUUCCAAAUACCAUGGCAAUGUCAGGACGUUACCUAUAUGGUCUAAAAAGGGGAAAUGUGAAUAAUCAACCCCUUGUUUAGCAUAUUAUCAAUAAAUAACCAUAAAAAUGGGCAACCAGCAGCCUUUGGGCCUGCUCUGUCUAUGGAGUGGCCAUUCUUUAUUCCUUUACCUUCCUAAUAAACUUGCUUUUGAUAUAGGAGUUAAAAAGAAAUUAUUUAGGCCAAUAGUAAGGGUAAGAAGUCCUCUGUAAGAUUUCCCUUUUAGUAAAAAACAGCCCCCAAAUUAUUUCUUUUCUAACAAAAAAGCAGCCUGUAAAAUUGAGCUGCAAACAUGGAUAAGCAAGCUGAAAGCUUACAGGGGUGAAUGCCAGCAGCUAAAACAAUAGGAAAAGGCUCCCUGGGGGCUAGGUAUGGUCAACAUGGUGGCUCCAUCUUCCCUUUUCCUUCCAAAUCAUGCAUACAGUAAGGAGCAGGCAACAUGCUGCUGGCCAGGCAAAGACCCAUUUGCAUAAUAGAAGAUUAGGGUAGAGCAGCCGUCUUCCCUGCGUUUUAUGUAAAUGUCACACCUGGUCCAGCCAAUCUUUGGUCCCUAUGUAAAUCAGACACUGCCUCCUUAAGUCAGUCUAUAAAAUCCGGUGCACUUUGCUAUUCUCCUUUCUCUUUCUUUUGCCUAUUAAACCUCUGCCACUAAACCCACUUCUUGUAUGUCUGCAUAUUUGAUUUCCUUGGAGUGAGGAGACACACCUUGAGUAUUUACCCCAGACAAACGAUGCCGCUUCACUUUCAUUUUACUCUACAGACUAGCCCUGAAUUAUUUCUUGAGCGAGAUCCAAGAAGCCUCUCUUGGGGUGUAGAUCAGGACCCCUUUCCAGUAACAGUCUUGCAUUCUUGGCAUACCUAAAAACAUUUCUGACGUGCUCCCAAUAACACCAGUGCUGCUGGUACAUUGUCUAUAUUUUGAGUAGCAAAGAGUUGGGGUUCCAGUUAAAAAAAAAAAAUCCAAGGUCC